GAUGAACGCUGGCGGCGUGCCUAAUACAUGCAAGUCGAGCGAACAGACGAGGAGCUUGCUCCUCUGACGUUAGCGGCGGACGGGUGAGUAACACGUGGAUAACCUACCUAUAAGACUGGGAUAACUUCGGGAAACCGGAGCUAAUACCGGAUAAUAUAUUGAACCGCAUGGUUCAAUAGUGAAAGACGGUUUUGCUGUCACUUAUAGAUGGAUCCGCGCCGCAUUAGCUAGUUGGUAAGGUAACGGCUUACCAAGGCAACGAUGCGUAGCCGACCUGAGAGGGUGAUCGGCCACACUGGAACGGAGACACGGUCCAGACUCCUACGGGAGGCAGCAGUAGGGAAUCUUCCGCAAUGGGCGAAAGCUUGACGGAGCAACGCCGCGUGAGUGAUGAAGGUCUUCGGAUCGUAAAACUCUGUUAUUAGGGAGGAACAAAUGUGUAAGUAACUAUGCACGUCUUGACGGUACCUAGUCAGAAAGCCACGGCUAACUACGUG
rnacentral:rRNA from 1 species